rnacentral:rRNA from 1 species
UACGUAGGGUGCAAGCGUUGUCCGGAAUUAUUGGGCGUAAAGAGCUCGUAGGCGGUCUGUCGCGUCUGCCGUGAAAGUCCGGGGCUCAACUCCGGAUCUGCGGUGGGUACGGGCAGACUAGAGUGAUGUAGGGGGAGACUGGAAUUCCUGGUGUAGCGGUGAAAUGCGCAGAUAUCAGGAGGAACACCGAUGGCGAAGGCAGGUCUCUGGGCAUUAACUGACGCUGAGGAGCGAAAGCAUGGGGAGCGAACAGG